rnacentral:rRNA from 1 species
GACGAACGCUGGCGGCGUGCUUAACACAUGCAAGUCGAACGGAAAGGCCCUGCUUUUGUGGGGUGCUCGAGUGGCGAACGGGUGAGUAACACGUGAGUAACCUGCCCUUGACUUUGGGAUAACUUCAGGAAACUGGGGCUAAUACCGGAUAGGAGCUCCUGCUGCAUGGGGGGGGUUGGAAAGUUUCGGCGGUUGGGGAUGGACUCGCGGGUUAUCAGCUUGUUGGUGGGGUAGUGGCUUACCAAGGCUUUGACGGGUAGCCGGCCUGAGAGGUUGACCGGCCACAUUGGGACUGAGAUACGGCCCAGACUCCUACGGGAGGCAGCAGUGGGGAAUAUUGCACAAUGGGCGGAAGCCUGAUGCAGCAACGCCGCGUGCGGGAUGACGGCCUUCGGGUUGUAAACCGCUUUCGCCUGUGACGAAGCGUGAGUGACGGUAAUGGGUAAAGAAGCACCGGCUAACUACGUG